UAGGGAAUCUUCCGCAAUGGGCGAAAGCCUGACGGAGCAACGCCGCGUGAGUGAUGAAGGUCUUCGGAUCGUAAAACUCUGUUAUUAGGGAAGAACAUAUGUGUAAGUAACUGUGCACAUCUUGACGGUACCUAAUCAGAAAGCCACGGCUAACUACGUGCCAGCAGCCGCGGUAAUACGUAGGUGGCAAGCGUUAUCCGGAAUUAUUGGGCGUAAAGCGCGCGUAGGCGGUUUUUUAAGUCUGAUGUGAAAGCCCACGGCUCAACCGUGGAGGGUCAUUGGAAACUGGAAAACUUGAGUGCAGAAGAGGAAAGUGGAAUUCCAUGUGUAGCGGUGAAAUGCGCAGAGAUAUGGAGGAACACCAGUGGCGAAGGCGACUUUCUGGUCUGUAACUGACGCUGAUGUGCGAAAGCGUGGGGAUCAAACAGGAUUAGAUACCCUGGUAGUCCACGCCGUAAACGAUGAGUGCUAAGUGUUA
rnacentral:rRNA from 1 species